rnacentral:lncRNA from 1 species
AGACAGACACCGCCUUGAGAUUAGUGGUCCCUUGCUAAUAAAGGAACAUUUGUUUUUUUUUUUUUUUUUUUGUGAUAAGAGCUCUGGACAGACUCUUCUGUAAGCUGGAAUUUCAUGCCCUUUUGCUGUAUGAUAACAUUUAUGCACAUGUGCUGUACUAAACAAGUUUGGUCAUACAGUCUGAAAUUUUGCCCAGGGGGGCUAUAUAAAAAUAAACCGUGAGCUUGCUUGCUUGCAUAGUUAUUAUUUUCCAUCUGGCCAGUGUGUGUCUGUCUCUUGUAUGUGUGUCUUGUUGUUUUAUGUCAUUUCACUCUUAAUCUCCAGAAUCUCCUACAUCUGGCGCCCAACUUGGGGCUCGAGUGAAACCGAAAGGGUCUCCUGCCAGGGCUUCGUGGAACAGAAAAAGACUAUGUGUCACCACACGAAAGAAGGUCUUUCUGCAUCCUUGUUAAAUGUUUUGGAUAUUUGGCACACAAAUAGUUCAUGUCUUACUACAACUUUUAGGGACAAAGGAGGCUAAAGAUAAUCUUGUAAAUGAACUUGUAAAUACUGUAAAUGGACAACAGAGAUCAUGAAUUUAUACCAGCAUAAGGCUACUAAAAGUUAUUAUAAUAAAUGUAUGUUUUGCAUCAGCAGUAAAGAUUGCUAGCAGACUCUUUGGAAAAACUUAAAUAGGAUUUUUUAGUUUUCAAUAUAGUCUACAUCAAGAUAUGAUUAACCAAAAGCUGGAAGAGCAAAAGAGGCAAACGGAAGCAAGUGACGUCUAUAGCAAGCAUUGAUAGUGAAUAUGCAAGACACUUUCUGGUAUUUCAGAAUGCCCAUAAUGACACAUCUGAAGACAAAAAUUGUGCCCCAAAGUGCAUGAUUUCUUUAUUUAUACGUAACACAUUAUGAAGAUGUCCAGAAUGUAUCCACUGGAAUCCUGCAGAUUAGAUUUUAAAUGUCUGAACUUUAUAAUAGCAAA